AUACGUAGGGUGCGAGCGUUAAUCGGAAUUACUGGGCGUAAAGCGUGCGCAGGCGGUUUGAUAAGCCAGAUGUGAAAUCCCCGAGCUCAACUUGGGAACUGCGUUUGGAACUGUCAGACUAGAGUGCGUCAGAGGGGGGUGGAAUUCCGCGUGUAGCAGUGAAAUGCGUAGAGAUGCGGAGGAACACCGAUGGCGAAGGCAGCCCCCUGGGAUGACACUGACGCUCAUGCACGAAAGCGUGGGGAGC
rnacentral:rRNA from 1 species